UUCCUACGGGGCAGCAGUAGGGAAUCUUCCGCAAUGGGCGAAAGCCUGACGGAGCAACGCCGCGUGAGUGAUGAAGGUUUUCGGAUCGUAAAGCUCUGUUGCCAGGGAAGAACGUCUUGUAGAGUAACUGCUACAAGAGUGACGGUACCUGAGAAGAAAGCCCCGGCUAACUACGUGCCAGCAGCCGCGGUAAUACGUAGGGGGCAAGCGUUGUCCGGAAUUAUUGGGCGUAAAGCGCGCGCAGGCGGCUCUUUAAGUCUGGUGUUUAAUCCCGAGGCUCAACUUCGGGUCGCACUGGAAACUGGGGAGCUUGAGUGCAGAAGAGGAGAGUGGAAUUCCACGUGUAGCGGUGAAAUGCGUAGAGAUGUGGAGGAACACCAGUGGCGAAGGCGACUCUCUGGGCUGUAACUGACGCUGAGGCGCGAAAGCGUGGGGAGCAAACAGGAUUAGAUACCGGGGGUAGUCCA
rnacentral:rRNA from 1 species